AUUGAACGCUGGCGGCAGGCCUAACACAUGCAAGUCGAACGAGUGGCAGAGGGGUGCGUAAUGUGUGGGAAUCCACCAUAUGGAGGGGGAUAACUACGAGAAACUGUCGCUAAUACCGCAUCCCCUCAGAUGCCCCCACGUGGGAUGAGCUAGUAGGUGGGGUAACGGCUCACCUAGGCGACGAUCCCUAGCUGGUCUGAGAGGAUGACCAGCCACACUGGAACUGAGACACGGUCCAGACUCCUACGGGAGGCAGCAGUGGGGAAUAUUGCACAAUGGGCGCAAGCCUGAUGCAGCCAUGCCGCGUGUAUGAAGAAGGCCUUCGGGUUGUAAAGUACUUUCAGCGAGGAGGCGUUACUCGCAGAAGAAGCACCGGCUAACUCCGUGCCAGCAGCCGCGGUAAUAC
rnacentral:rRNA from 1 species